GGCCCCAUCGUCUAGUGGUUAGGACACCUGGUUUUCAUCCAGGCAACCGGAGUUCGAUUCUCCGUGGGGUCA
rnacentral:tRNA from 1 species